rnacentral:lncRNA from 1 species
GGCCGUGGAAAAUGAGGAAGCAUCCAGGGAGGUGGACCAUACUAGAAUGGCAGGUACCAAUACUGUGACCAGGCUGCAAACUAUUAUCCUAGGAACUAUAAUAACAAUAGGCGAAGGGGAAGGGGCGGUGGCGGUGGUGGGAACUUCUACAACAACCAUAAUUCAGGGGCUCAAGCCAGCCAUGCCCCGGCAGAUUCGUGACCUUACGAUAAUUAUAGUCCAUGGGCUCAAGAGGUGGCAGAGUUACUUGUGGGGAUUUUUUCUACUAGUUAUUGGGAGGGUGUUUUUACUUUCCAUGCAACUUGGAUUACUCGUGGGUUGCAGAUGAGAACGCAAUAUCUAGGACACCUUUUUGUAGUUCAUUCAAUCGUAGAUUUUUCAUUGAAAAAUGGUAAGAACACAAUUGGAUUUCUUCUAAUUUUUGCUUGCAGUGACCAAUAGAAUGCACACGUACAUAUCACAAACUUGUCUUACUGCCCUAUUUGACUGUUGAAUCGUCUG